GGGAGGAGCGAAAAGAGGAUCUAGCUCGAUCAACAAGCAAGAGGACUUUGCUGCAGCAAAACUUGUGUUAUCCUGUCUAAAUUUGAUUGAAUAAUGUCAUCCAAGUGUCCAGCCUGUUCUAAAACUGUUUAUUUUGCUGAACGUGUUAGUAGCUUGGGCAAAGACUGGCACCGUCCUUGUUUGAAAUGUGUGAAGUGUAAGAAGACCCUCAACCCUGGUGGGCAUGCUGAGCAUGAAGGCAAGCCAUAUUGUAACCAGCCAUGUUACAGUGCAUUGUUUGGUCCUGGUGGAUUUGGUAGAGGUGGAACAGAGUCACACAAGUACUGAUAAGCUAAAUACUUUUAGGCUAUCAUUUUAUCGAAAAAGAAAAAAGAAACAAACAAAACUUCAAUUUACCUUCAAUUAUAAUAAACAUAAGAGAUUUUUUGUCUAUUACAUUAAUAAUUGUCUCUUAGCAAAUGAAACUAUACCCACCCAA